CCCCCUUACCCAUCCUAAAUUCAUAUCGUUUCGGAUUUUCCCUAACUUUCAAGUUCCAAUCCGCCUUAGUUCCGCAUUGUUUACCGGGCAAAGGGCCCAACCUUUCUCCCCCCGCGCCCCCCUUCUCGUUUUUCUCUUUUGUUUUAUAUCCUAUUUUUUUGUUUUUUUUGUUUUCCUAGGCACUGGUCCGUUCCUAGGUUCCGUUUUUGGUUUUCAAUUACCUGCCCUGAACUUCCCUACGCUUUAAAAGGAACCUGGUCAAAUGGGACCCUUUUUUGAGGGGGCGUCGAAGGCCGCAAGGGUAACCCGUGGGAACUUCUUUGAGGGGGGAAAAACUGAAACAAGACCAAAACGGUAACAUAGACAACGGUUGGGUUUUAAUUAAGGUUGUUUUGCCCCCACGACGGUCGUCCCGGCGUCUUUAAGUUGUUGAAAGGAACGGCUCACCAGGGGUGUGAUGAUAGCGGAUUGGAGAGUUUUUCGCCCACAAUGGGACUGAACCUCGGCCCAUAUUCCUACGGGAGGCAGCAGUAGGAAUUUUCCACAAUGGGCGAAAGCUUGAUGAGCAACGCCGGGUGUGUGUGAAGGUUUCGGCUCGUAAAACAUUGUUGUAAGAGAAGAAUGACAUUGAGAGUAACUGUUCAAUGUGUGACGGUAUCUUACCAGAAAGGAAGGGCUAAAUACGUGCCAGCAGCCGCGGUAAUACGUAUGUUCCAAGCGUUAUCCGGAUUUAUUGGGCGUAAAGCGAGCGCAGACGGUUAUUUAAGUCUGAAGUGAAAGCCCUCAGCUCAAGUGAGGAAUUGCUUUGGAAACUGGAUGACUUGAGGCAGUAGAGGAAAGUGGAACUCCAUGUGUAGCGGUGAAAUGCGUAGAUAUAUGGAAGAACACCAGUGGCGAGGGCGGCUUUCUGGACUGUAACUGACGUUGAGGCUCGAAAGUGUGGGUAGCAAACAGGAUUAGAUACCCUGGUAGUCCACACCGUAAACGAUGAGUGCUAGGUGUUUGAGGGUUUCCGCCCUUAAGUGCCGCAGCUAACGCAUUAAGCACUCCGCCUGGGGAGUACGACCGCAAGGUUGAAACUCAAAGGAAUUGACGGGGACCCGCACAAGCGGUGGAGCAUGUGGUUUAAUUCGAAGCAACGCGAAGAACCUUACCAGGUCUUGACAUCCCUUGACAACUCCAGAGAUGGAGCGUUCCCUUCGGGGACAAGGUGACAGGUGGUGCAUGGUUGUCGUCAGCUCGUGUCGUGAGAUGUUGGGUUAAGUCCCGCAACGAGCGCAACCCUUAUUACUAGUUGCCAGCAUUCAGUUGGGCACUCUAGUGAGACUGCCGGUGACAAACCGGAGGAAGGUGGGGAUGACGUCAAAUCAUCAUGCCCCUUAUGACCUGGGCUACACACGUGCUACAAUGGCGUAUACAACGAGUUGCCAACCCGCGAGGGUGAGCUAAUCUCUUAAAGUACGUCUCAGUUCGGAUUGUAGGCUGCAACUCGCCUACAUGAAGUGGGAAUCGCUUGUAAUCGCGGAUCAGCACGCCGCGGUGAAUACGUUCCCGGGUCUUGUACACACCGCCCGUCACACCGUGAGAGUUUGUAACACCCAACGCCGGUGGGGUAACCUUCGGGAGCCAGCCGUCUAAGGUGGACAGCUGAUCUCUUUCUCUCCCCCUUCCCCCCUUUUCC
rnacentral:rRNA from 1 species